GUGUCAGCCGCCGCGGUAAUACGGAGGGUGCAAGCGUUAUUCGGAAUUACUGGGCGUAAAGCGCACGUAGGCGGCUUCGUAAGUCAGGGGUGAAAUCCCACGGCUCAACCGUGGAACUGCCUUUGAAACUGCAAAGCUUGAAUCCUGGAGAGGGUGGCGGAAUUCCUGGUGUAGGAGUGAAAUCCGUAGAUAUCAGGAGGAACACCGGUGGCGAAGGCGGCCACCUGGACAGGCAUUGACGCUGAGGUGCGAAAGUGUGGGGAGCAAACAGGAUUAGAUACCCCUGUAGUCC
rnacentral:rRNA from 1 species